rnacentral:rRNA from 1 species
GACGAACGCUGGCGGCGUGCCUAACACAUGCAAGUCGAACGGAGUUGAUCCUUCGGGAUUAACUUAGUGGCGAACGGGUGAGUAACGCGUGAGGAACCUGCCUUUCAGUGGGGGACAACAGUUGGAAACGACUGCUAAUACCGCAUAACACAUUCGAGGGGCAUCCCUUGAAUGUCAAAGAUUUAUUGCUGAAAGAUGGCCUCGCGUCUGAUUAGCUAGUUGGUGAGGUAACGGCUCACCAAGGCGACGAUCAGUAGCCGGUCUGAGAGGAUGAACGGCCACAUUGGGACUGAGAUACGGCCCAG